AGAGUUUGAUCCUGGCUCAGGACGAACGCUGGCGGCGUGCUUAACACAUGCAAGUCGAACGAACUCGGACUUCGGUCCAUAUGGGUGAGUGGCGAACGGGUGAGUAACACGUGAGAAACCUGCCCCGAAGUCGGGAAUAACUCAGGGAAACUUGAGCUAAUACCGGAUGCCCUCUUUCAGUCGCAUGGCUGAAUGAGGAAAGAUUUAUCGCUUUGGGAGGGUCUCGCGACCUAUCAGCUAGUUGGUGAGGUAAUGGCUCACCAAGGCAUCGACGGGUAGCUGGUUUGAGAGAAAGCCACACUGGAACUGAGACACGGUCCAGACUCCUACGGGAGGCAGCAGUGGGGAAUCUUGCACAAUGGGCGAAAGCCUGAUGCAGCGAUGCCGCGUGCGGGAAGAAGGCCUUAGGGUUGUAAACCGCUUUCAGGAGGGAAGAAAAUGACGGUACCUCCAGAAGAAGGUGCGGCCAACUACGUGCCAGCAGCCGCGGUGACACGUAGGCACCAAGCGUUAUCCGGAUUUAUUGGGCGUAAAGAGCUCGUAGGCGGUUUGGUAAGUCGGGUGUGAAAACUCUGGGCUCAACCCAGAGAGGCCACUCGAUACUGCUAUGACUAGAGUACGGUAGGGGAGCGGGGAAUUCCUGGUGUAGCGGUGAAAUGCGCAGAUAUCAGGAGGAACACCAGCGGCGAAGGCGCCGCUCUGGGCCGUAACUGACGCUGAGGAGCGAAAGCAUGGGUAGCAAACAGGAUUAGAUACCCUGGUAGUCCAUGCC
rnacentral:rRNA from 1 species